AACUAGGUAAGCUAAACACUAAGCUGUUGGGCUCAUAACCCAAAAAUGAUUUCACUCCCUAGCUA
rnacentral:tRNA from 1 species